rnacentral:sRNA from 1 species
UCAAGAUUUCGAGGCAACAUAUUGGGU